UUGACCUCGGAUCAGGUAGGGAUACCCGCUGAACUUAAGCAUAUCAAUAAGCGGAGGAAAAGAAACCAACAGGGAUUGCCUCAGUAACGGCGAGUGAAGCGGCAACAGCUCAAAUUUGAAAUCUGGCUCUUUCAGGGUCCGAGUUGUAAUUUGUAGAAGAUGCUUUGGGUGUGGCUCCGGUCUAAGUUCCUUGGAACAGGACGUCAUAGAGGGUGAGAAUCCCGUACGUGACUGGUUGCCUCCGCCCGUGUAAAGCUCUUUCGACGAGUCGAGUUGUUUGGGAAUGCAGCUCAAAAUGGGUGGUAAAUUUCAUCUAAAGCUAAAUAUUGGCCAGAGACCGAUAGCGCACAAGUAGAGUGAUCGAAAGAUGAAAAGCACUUUGGAAAGAGAGUUAAACAGUACGUGAAAUUGUUGAAAGGGAAGCGCUUGCAACCAGACUUGCAUGCGGUUGAUCAUCCGAGCUUCUGCCCGGUGCACUCGAUCGUAUUCAGGCCAGCAUCGGUUUUGGUGGGCGGAUAAAGGCCUUGGGAAUGUAGCUUCCUUCGGGGAGUGUUAUAGCCCUCGGUGCAAUGCGCCCUACCGGGACCGAGGACCGCGCUUCGGCUAGGAUGCUGGCGUAAUGGUUGUAAGCGACCCGUCUUGAAAACGGACCA
rnacentral:rRNA from 5 species